rnacentral:rRNA from 1 species
GAUGAACGCUGGCGGCGUGCCUAAUACAUGCAAGUCGAGCGAACGGACGAGAAGCUUGCUUCUCUGAUGUUAGCGGCGGACGGGUGAGUAACACGUGGAUAACCUACCUAUAAGACUGGGAUAACUUCGGGAAACCGGAGCUAAUACCGGAUAAUAUUUUGAACCGCAUGGUUCAAAAGUGAAAGACGGUCUUGCUGUCACUUAUAGAUGGAUCCGCGCUGCAUUAGCUAGUUGGUAAGGUAACGGCUUACCAAGGCAACGAUGCAUAGCCGACCUGAGAGGGGGAUCCGCCACACUGGAACUGAGACGCGGUCCAGACUCCUACGGGAGGCAGCAGUAGGGAAUCUUCCGCGAUGGGCGAAAGCCUGACGGAGCAACGCCGCGUGAGUGAUGAAGGUCUUCGGAUCGUAUAACUCUGUUAUUAGGGAAGAACAUAUGUGUAAGUAACUGUGCACAUCUUGACGGUACCUAAUCAGAAAGCCACGGCUAACUACGUG